CCAUUCGUGCUUCUCUCCGGCCCUCCUUCCUGGUAAUCUCUCAUCAUACCCCAAUUUCUGCAGCGGGAAAAGGUCCUUACCUCAUUAGAAGCUGAGGAUGAUCGCAAGUGGUCUUCCUAUGCAACCGUAGCAUGAUAGAAAGCAACCCUCCUCUUCUCUCUCAGGUAAAAACUUGAUAUUCUCUCCUUCGUAGGAAAAGAAAUAUUACUGUUUCUUUGUUUUCCGGGGUGCUAUUAGAAGCUGAGGAUGAUCGCAAAGUACUCAUUAGUUCAUUAGUGUCUAAGGGGAUCAUUGAGGAUGAGGAGAUGGACAAUGAUGUUGUUGUUAAUGCUAGUGGGGAGACAUUAUUCUCCGCUAAAUGAUGUUAUAUGAUUUCCACAACAUUACAGGUACGCUUUCAACCCGUUCUUUUGGAUUCUGUGACUUCUAGUCCCAAUUCCCGUAAAAGAUGUGUUAAUAUGUGUUUACAUCCGUUUAUCUUGUACCUAGCUUGUUUUUGCAAAUUGAAAUGUUGAUUUCAGCAUUUGAUGGUUCUAAAUACUUGAACAGAAGCUUGCCUUUUCUUUUGCAAUUAGUCAUGGUUAUUCCCGCAACUAAAGUUUCCAGGGAGAUUUUCAGUAUUUCCAUUUUGGUUGUUUCAUCUUCCAGCGUUGUUGUUAACCUCGAUCAGUUGUGCAUCUAGUUUCAUUACUACAU
rnacentral:lncRNA from 1 species